UUCUGCAGAGUUUGAUUUGCUGUUUGAAAAUGCUUUUGACCAAUGGGUAGCCAGCACAGCAUCAGAAAAAUGCACCUUCUUCCAAAUCCUCCACCACACCUGCCAGAGGUACCUCACGGACAGGAAGCCAGAAUUCAUUAACUGCCAAUCCAAAAUUAUGGGAGGGAACAGCAUCCUCCAUUCAGCUGCUGAUAGUGUGACCAGUGCAGUACAGAAGGCGAGCCAGGCCUUGAACGAGCGUGGAGAACGGUUAGGCCGAGCAGAGGAGAAGACAGAAGACAUGAAGAACAGCGCCCAGCAGUUUGCAGAAACUGCACACAAGCUGGCUAUGAAGCACAAAUGUUGAGAAACUGCCUAUCCUGAUGACCCUGUUAAGAGAAAUGGAAGACUGCGUUCGGCAGUUUUUACAAGAAUUCCGGACCUCCGCUUGCUUCUUUUCUUCCAAUAUAUGGACAUGUAGGGUUUUUUUGGUUUAUUCUUUUCAGAUGUUAAUAUGAAAGAAAAGAUGUUGUGUUUGUACAUUUCCCUAAUGAUCUUGCUAAGAAAUGCUACAAUAGCCUUAGCUUCAUUUUGGGUUUUUUUUUUUUUUUUUUUCACUGUGUGCGUGUGUGUGUGCGCGCGCGCGUGUGUGUUUGUAUGUGUUUUCCUUUUUUAAAAACAAUUUUUUUUGUAGUUUAAAUAUGAAACUUGGACCAAAUGAUAAACGACUGGGUCUCAAUGGCAACGCAUUUUUUUUUCCCUGAUAUUAAGCAGGAAGGCAUUUUAAUGUGGUGACCUCAGAUGUUAUUGUUUCUGGAUGAAAAUAAAAGUCAAGCUGUGAUUGAUUUCACUCACUCUCCCAGCUACUCUUAAUUUGAAGGUUAAAAUCUAUGUCCUGAGAUGUUAAUCUGUAUUAUGAAAAACAAUUGGAUUUAUCGAGGAAAACAGCAGUCUUAGAUUUUGCUCUUUGCAUCAUUAUCUUUUGAUUGAACCACCAUCAGAAUUUAAAAAAUGGCAGAAUCAAAGAUAGAAAUCUACUUUCUGAGCUACAGUUGCAAUAGUUCAGCUCCUUGUUUCCAGAUGGAUUAUUUGGAAUGAUAUGAAAGAUAAAAAGUUGAGAGUAAAGACCAAAUGAAAAGCUGUAUGUAUACAGAAUGUGUCUUGUUGAGCUUCUGUAUAUUCAUGGAUUUUUUUUCUCUCUUGCUAUUGUCCCAAAUUAUAGUGACUAGUAUUGAAAAGAGCUUGGAUUUUUAUGAAAAAUUCUAUUUGUCCAGAGAAAGGUUUCUGUAAAUGAUAAUGUGAAAAGACACUACAUUUAAAAUAAUUUUUCUUCUCUUUAUAUAAAGUCAUAUUUUAGAGACACCUUCACAAUAUUCUUCAGAAAGGGCUUUCCUUAUUUUAGUAUACAAAUUUUGGAAGUUUCAUUUGCUGUUAUUGCUGUCUAUUUAUUUAACAUAAUUUAAUAUCUGGUCUUCUUGGCAAUUGCAACUUGCCUGAUCUAUCAUAAAACAGCACUAUCACAAAGCCUUCCAACUGUAGUCAGAUUGAGUAAAGUUGGUUACAAACCUCCAGAUUUUGUAUUACUUAAAGUAAUAUUGCGUUUAGAGUCUAGAAGGUUUGUUUCCUAGAGGGUUAAAAUGCUAAACAUAAAAAAGCUGUGCUUCUUCCUGAAACAUCCCAGACACACUGUCAGGGUCCCACUGCAGGGCACUGAUGUUUAAGCUGCCAGAAUUUCAGGACCUUUUCCUGUUUCUUCCCAUCCAUUGAGCCAACUGAGUUUAUGUGUAUUGUUGCCUCUUACAGAGCAGCAAUGUGACUUUUUAGAUUAUUAAUGCUAAUUUAAAUGGCUUAAAUUCUCCUGAUAAAGUAUUCCUAGGGAGACAGAAAGUUAGUAUGUUGGGGGAGGUUCUUAGUAUGUGUCAAAAGAUGGGAUUAUUCGGAGAAGAAUAUCUGAAUCUUUUUAUAUGAAGAACAUACAAGUUUACUAUAAUAUUGUAUGCUUUUCUUUUGAUGGCUUAAAAAUUUUAGGAACCGAGGAGCAUGCCAUUUGAAACAUUAGAAACGUUUCUGAUUUCUAAGACAAAUCUCAAAUAUCACUCAAACAGAUUUGGUUUUAGAAGUCAGUUCAGAACACACACAUACACACACACACACACACACAUCAUCUUCCCAAGGUGGACUCUGGUUUCAGAGAUAGAUAGUUGCUAUAAAUAACUGAAAGGAUGAAUCUAAAACUCCUUGACAAUUGGCCAAACUCAAGAAUAAAACUGGUUGCCAACUAUGUAACAACAGUAUUUAGGAAGCGCUUCUGAAGUAGCAGAGGAUGGGGUCAUAAGCAUACUGUGAAAUCUAAGAUUAUUUCUCCCUGGCAGAAUUGUGAUACUUACAUUUCAUAAAUAUCAGUGUUCCACAUCUUGCCCUCUUUCCUCACUCUCUGUUUAUCCUUUUAGACCCAAAAUCUAUCAGCCAUAGCCUGGAUUAGAAGAAAGCCCAUCCAAAUCUUUAUCAGCUUCUCCUAUUGAUUUGUUUCCAGGUCAUGAUCAUGCCCUUGACAUACCUCCCAGUAUCAAAGUCCUGCCUAAGCACCCCCCUCCCCUGGCCAACAGAAGCACCAUAACAACAAUCCCUAUGCUUCCUCUACCUUUCAGCUUCUUGCAGAGGAGCCCCAGGAUCACGCCUGCAAAGUUCUUUGCUAUCCUUUGGUAGAAGGUGCUGCAUUACAAGAUAUUAAUAUAGUCUAACCUAGAGAUUGCUAAAAUGGCUCACAACAUUUGGGACCAAUGCGUUUGGUUGAGCUUGUUAGAAGACACUUAAUCUGUUUCAUUUUUGCACUUCAUUAUGAAUUUGAGGAUACUGUAUGUCUGUGAAGGACUUCUCAAUUGUAUUGACAAUGCAUCAAGAAAAGAAACUUUCCAGUGUUACCACUUCUUCCUGGAAUGUAGCUGUAGUAUUUGUCACUAGUAUUAUUAGAUAUCUGUGUACAAGAAGUAUGCAGUUAUUCAGGUUUAAUGUUUCAUAUUAAAGAAUGUAUUUGUAAAAUGUAACGAGAUCAGUAGUCAACGUUUUUUAAGCUCUGAAAAAAAUAAAUUAUGUGUUAGACUUUAAAUUACAGUGAAAUCUGUCUUAAUACUACUUUUGUGGCUAGCAAAGGUUGUGCACUUACGUAAAAAUAUUUACAGAAUAUCCUAAAUAAGGGAUAUUAAAGAUAGGUUUCGCUCUUAAUUUUCAGAAUUGUAACACUGCUGAUGUCUGUUGUACAGUUAUUAAUUCUUCAGAAGUUCUCUAAGAUGUCAAAUAUAAUUUGUUUCAUUCAGAGACAAGUAACACCUGCUCUAUUGAUUCACUAUUACAGCAAACCCUAAUUUUGUCAUUAAAUAUUUUAACUCUGUGA